UACGAAGGGGGCUAGCGUUGUUCGGAAUUACUGGGCGUAAAGGGCUCGUAGGUGGCCAACUAAGUCAGACGUGAAAUCCCUCGGCUUAACCGGGGAACUGCGUCUGAUACUGGAUGGCUUGAGUUCGGGAGAGGGAUGCGGAAUUCCAGGUGUAGCGGUGAAAUGCGUAGAUAUCUGGAGGAACUCCGGUGGCGAAGGCGGCAUCCUGGACCGACACUGACACUGAGGAGCGAAAGCCAGGGGAGCAAACGGG
rnacentral:rRNA from 1 species